UCAGCGUUCAUUUAUUCACUCCCUCACUCAUGCACCUGCUCAUCCCCCAAGGAACACCCAUUCUCAGCACAGCCAUUGUCUGCCAAGCACUAGGCUUGACUCCGAGAUGUGUGAGCUUGAAAACAGGCCCUUAACUUCCCAGAGCCUGCGAGGGAGUCAGCCUUGAAGAAUUCCACACAUUUGUGUCCUUUCCUCAUUCCUUAUCAAUGGUGUUUUGAAACUAUCGGAGCUUCCACUGCACUCAGGGUAACAAGUGCAUUCCUGGUCUCCCUUCCGUCAGAAGGUAGCCGCGUGUCUGGUACAGCCUGUGCAGGUAGAAACUUGGUUGGAGUUCUAGGCAAGUUUUGCUUUCCCAAGGGAGGAGAGACCGCUUCCCACUCCCCUUCCUCCUCUUUAUUUCCUCUUCUCCCAGAUAUGCAGCUCUAAGAUGGCCAGACAACCUCUGAAGUGAGGCGUGACAGAAUGGUAAGGGUACUAUUGCUGAACCCCACAACCUGUAUUUGAUCCCCAGAAUCCACAAGGUGAAGGAAAGAACUGACUCCCUUAAAUUGUUUUCUAACCUCUGCAUGUGCAGCAUGACACUGUAUACCCCCACACAUAAACACACACACACACACACACACACACCCCUCUACUGCUGUGUAUACUGGAUGUGAGGGUACCAGCUCAGAGAAAGGAGCUGGUGGGAGCCUACAAAAGCUCAGCCUAGCAGUGGAAACUGGCGGCUCCCCAAGAUUCCCUCCAUAAAUGCUGUCCUGUUAAGUACAGUCUGGUGUCCUGUGUUUCCAGAGCUCCACCAGGGAAGACUGCGAAGAGGUAGUCUGUAAAUAUUCUUUCCACCUACCAGCUGAUUGCCUAGCAUGAGGGAGGUCAGGGGGUUAUCCUGCCCACUUUCCGGGGCUGUCACUUUUGAGGCAGAGUUGCCAGAGCGUGGGUGGGAAGCUACCGUAAGAGUCAAGGUGCUACAUAGAGGUCACUCACCUUUCUUUUCACACCAGGAAGUCUGAAAUUAGAGGGAGAAGGGCAGGAGCCACGCAACAAAAGCUGAAGGAAAAGCUCUGUUUGUAACCCAAUUCCCAGCGGCCCCAGGAAGCCGUGGGCUGGUCUCUCUCCAUCCAUUCAAUGCUGCUUCUCCAGAUGAAUCCGCCACGGCAGUUGGGGAUCUGGACCUUCGAGACGUGGAGACAGAAAUCAAGAGCCCAUUCAUCACACGGAAAACAGACACCUGACAGAUCCAAUUCCACAUCGAUGCAUCAAACCUACAGAAAAACAGAGGGCCUCAUUUUCUCAGGCAAGGGACAGAAAAGUUGCCAAGUAAAGGCCACAGGGUAAAACAUCAGGGGCACUCUUUUAAUAUUCCCCCACCCCCACCCCAGGUGGUGGCAAAUCACAGCCUGUCAGGGUCUGUCUUUCAGAUCACAAGGCUAGAAGACUCCAGGUGUCUUGUGAGCAUGGACUCACUGGGCUGUUUGGGUCAAGGGAAUAAAACAUUCAAACACUUUG